UCCAGCUUAUCGCUGGCGGUCUCCUGAGAGUGCCUAUUAGUUGCAACACAGGACAAGGGUUGCGCUCGUUGCGGGACUUAACCCAACAUCUCACGACACGAGCUGACGACAGCCAUGCAGCACCUCGACUCCUGUCCCUUGCGGGAAAACUCCUAUUUCUAAGAGCGAUCAGAAGCCGUUCGAGCCCAGGUAAGGUUCUUCGCGUUGCGUCGAAUUAAACCACAUGCUCCACCGCUUGUGCGGGCCCCCGUCAAUUCCUUUGAGUUUCAGCCUUGCGGCCGUACUCCCCAGGCGGGGCACUUAUCGCGUUAGCUGCGACACGGAAGGGGUCGAUCCCACCCGCGUCUAGUGCCCAUCGUUUACGGCGUGGACUAC
rnacentral:misc_RNA from 1 species